rnacentral:rRNA from 1 species
GAUGAACGCUGGCGGCGUGCCUAACACAUGCAAGUCGAGCGAACAGACGGGGCGUUUGCUCGGUCGACGUGAGGGGCGGGCGGGUGAGUCACACGUAGGUAACCUGCCUAGAAGGCUGGGAUAAGUUAGGGAAAGCGGAGAUAACAUCGGAUAAGAUUGCGAACCGCGUGGUUCGUUAGAGAAAGAUGGCUUUGCUGACACUUAUUGGUGGUCCUUCGCUGUAUUAGCUAGUUGGUAAGGUAACGGCCUACCAAGGCAACGAUACGUGGCCGAUCUGAGAGGGUGAUCGGCCACACUGGAACUGAGACACGGUCCAGACUCCUACGGGAGGCAGCAGUGGGGAAUAUUGGGCAAUGGGCGAAAGCCUGACGCAGCAAUGCCGCGUGAGUGAUGAAGGUCUUCGGAUCGUAAAGCUCUGUUAUUAGGGAAGAACAACCGUGAAAUUAACCGUGCACGUCUUGACGGUACCUACUCAAAAAGCCACGGCUAACUACGUG